rnacentral:rRNA from 1 species
GACGAACGCUGGCGGCGUGCUUAACACAUGCAAGUCGAACGGAAAGGCCCCUUUGGGGGUCCUCGAGUGGCGAACGGGUGAGUAACACGUGAGUAACCUGCCCUUGACUUCGGGAUAACUUCAGGAAACUGGGGCUAAUACCGGAUAGGAAUCCUUGCUGCAUGGUGGGGGUUGGAAAGCUUCGGCGGUUUUGGAUGGACUCGCGGCUUAUCAGCUUGUUGGUGGGGUAGUGGCUUACCAAGGCUUUGACGGGUAGCCGGCCUGAGAGGGCGACCGGCCACAUUGGGACUGAGAUACGGCCCAGACUCCUACGGGAGGCAGCAGGGGGGAAUAUUGCACAAGGGGCGGAAGCCUGAUGCAGCAACGCCGCGUGCGGGAUGACGGCCUUCGGGUUGGAAACCGCUUUCAGCAGGGGCGAAGCUUGUGGUGACGGUACCUGCAGAAGAAGCACCGGCUAACUACGUG